rnacentral:lncRNA from 1 species
CAAACCAUUUAAGAAAGUCUUUACAAAUCACAACAACAAUAAAUAAAACUUAAGCCUAAGAUUUUAUUUCAUAUUAAAGAAAGCUAAAAUAAAGCACAGCUUUAAAAAGAGAAACUCGCUUGAUUAAUUGUAAACGCUAGAAGUGGUCAACACGUUUUCAAAAUGAAAAUAUUAUACUGCCUACUAUUAGUUCCGACUGUGUUAGGCGUGACAUGUGUUAUUCGUUCUUCCGUAGUUCCGCCGGUAGAAAAUGAAUAUGAAUUUAUAAAGUCGAUUAAAAUUUUACCAGAUCUUUCUUAUUUAAAAAGCUACGCUUGCGAAGUUUGUUUAUCAAUAAAGCUUAAAAAUUAUACUUUGAUUGAUUAUACACCUCGUUCGGUAUCCAUACAAACCUGUCUGCCCUCAUACUCUUGCAGUUCAUCGUUUUGUGAUGGUUAUGAGAGUUUGAAUAUUUUUUGUGAGGCGAGUUGCUGUUCCAAAAAUCUUUGCAACUCUAGCGGUAGAUUAGAAGGUUUUCUCUUUUGGAAAUGGCUUUUGUUGAUAUUAUUUGUAUUUUGGUUUUUGCAAUAAUGAUUUAAAGUGUGUGUUUUGUUAUUUUAACUUUAUAUAUAUUUUUUUAAACAACUCUUUGAUCAAGCUCUAAUUUUUUAACACUUUUAAUAAAUUAUGCAAAAAAUAAAAAAAAUUAACGUAAAAAAAAACCUUUUACAUUUAGAAACAAUUUAUGUAAGUUUGUGAUGUGCAGUGCAUAUUUUUGAAACUAAUAUUUGUAAAUGAUUAGCAAUAAAAUGUUUUUCACUUUUUACAUAAAGUUUUUAUUAUUUUGUAUUUUUUCAAAGAAUUGUUUAUUUCAACGAA